UGUUUGGUAAAAAGAGUUAGGUUUCUGGCUUCUCUGAUUUUAACCAAACUUAUCUACUAAAUAAAAGGUUAUAAGGUCCUUUUAGGAAAAAGAAAGUAUUAAAAGUACUAAAAACACAUUUUAAAGAAUAGUUUAAUAUAUUACAAAUAUAUUUUAUUUUGUUUGUUUUUUGUUGGAGUUUCCUGAUUUUAUUUUGGAUUUGCAGCAACACCAAGGACUUUCUACAUUAACAGCUUCAUCAGACCUGGAUAGAAAUAAUGCCCAGUGUUCCUGUGCUGGCUUGUUUGAAGCUGCUCACAUGGGAUUUGACUGGUCUGGAGUAUGGAUACAUGUGGCUUUUCCAGCUUACAGUGUGAGUUAAACAGGACCUGCAUUAAAUAUGGGAGAGAGAGCCACAGAUUAUAGAGUAGCCUUACUCUUGGCACUGUUUGGCUAGCUGCAGCUAGUCUCCCCCCUGGGUUCUGAUGUAGACAGGAAAUCAGAGGAUGGUGAGCUGACAGGAAAAGCACUCAAAAGGAGGAGAGUGGUGUAGCCCCCAGGAAGUCUGCAUCACGUGUCACGCAGCCGAUGUGCAAUCCUUCGAGUGACAAGAAGUUAAAUAUGUAUACAUUCAAAUGAAAUAAUUUUCAGCGGUCAGAUUAUUGCCAAAUACUAAGUCAUUGCUGACACAUCUACCUCUAUUUUAAUUUUUUUUUUAAUGGUCUUCUCGGGAAAUCAACUGAUAAAAUGUAUCCACAACACAUGCAUCAGGCAUUUGUAAAAGCCAUAAAACUUCAUUUUUUUAUCAUUGAAACCUUGUAUUAUUAUUAUUAUUAUUAUUAUUAUUAUUAUUAUUAUUAUUAUUAUUAUAAGUAGUAGUAGUAGUCAUAGUAGUAAUAAUAAUAAACAGCUUUACUUUGUGUCUAUUCCCAUGAUUUAUUUAUUUGUUGAUUUAAAUUAAAAUGAUCUUUUACUGUUAAAAUACUCAAAGCAAUACAGUAUUUGGCAAUUUACAGCCAGCAUUCUAAAAACAGUUCUUACUGUGCUUUUCAUCCAUUCCAAAGUAAUCUGACAGUUUUAACUAAUUGCGACCUGAGACAGAAAUGGUGUUUAAGAAAACAACAAAAAAGCAUGCACACAAACUGGCUUUGGUGGUCAGCGAAAAAAUCUUGUUUCAGCUUUUUAAGGGUACAGUAAUUAUUUAUUUGUUUUCUUAUUUUCUUUUAUUGAACAUCAUUAAACUGGUUAGUUUGUUUUAUGUGAAGUGACAGCAUGUCAAAAGUGAACUGUGACAGUCAAGUCAAACCCGUAGGAUCUGUAUAAACGGAGUGAUACACGCCGCUGUACCACUUCCAACAGUAUUAUUAUUUACAGGUUGUUGCCAUAAGGCUCUGGACAUUAUAAACAAUAAUAAACACCCUUGCACCUGUACCAUACGUUUCUGUGUGAUUAUUCCACUCUGCACUGCACUCACCUGCACGUAGUUACCACUU